UCGGGAAUUUUGGGCAAUGGGCGCAAGCCUGACCCAGCAACGCCGCGUGAAGGAUGAAGCAUUUCGGUGUGUAAACUUCGCAAGAAUAGGAAGAAUAAGAGCCGUCGAAUAAACGGCUCGAUGACGGUACUAUUUGUAAGCUCCGGCUAACUCCGUGCCAGCAGCCGCGGUAAUACGGGGGGAGCAAGCGUUGUUCGGAUUUACUGGGCGUAAAGGGUGCGUAGGCGGCACCACGAGUCACUUGUGAAAUCUCGGAGCUCAACUCCGAGCGGUCAAGUGAUACUGUGGAGCUAGAGUGCAGAAGGGGCAACCGGAAUUCUCGGUGUAGCGGUGAAAUGCGUAGAUAUCGAGAGGAACACCUGCGGCGAAGGCGGGUUGCUGGGCUGACACUGACGCUGAGGCACGAAAGCUAGGGGAGCAAACGGG
rnacentral:rRNA from 1 species